AUUGAACGCUGGCGGCAUGCUCUACACAUGCAAGUCGAACGGUAACAGGCCGCAAGGUGCUGACGAGUGGCGAACGGGUGAGUAAUGCAUCGGAACGUGCCCAGUCGUGGGGGAUAACUACUCGAAAGAGUAGCUAAUACCGCAUACGAUCUAUGGAUGAAAGCGGGGGACCGUAAGGCCUCGCGCGAUUGGAGCGGCCGAUGUCAGAUUAGGUAGUUGGUGGGGUAAAGGCUCACCAAGCCAACGAUCUGUAGCUGGUCUGGGAGGACGACCAGCCACACUGGGACUGAGACACGGCCCAGACUCCUACGGGAGGCAGCAGUGGGGAAUUUUGGACAAUGGGCGCAAGCCUGAUCCAGCAAUGCCGCGUGCAGGAAGAAGGCCUUCGGGUUGUAAACUGCUUUUGUACGGAACGAAACGGCUCUGGUUAAUACCCGGGGCUAAUGACGGUACCGUAAGAAUAAGCACCGGCUAACUACGUG
rnacentral:rRNA from 1 species